UUGAUUGGGUCAGUCACGUGAUUGGGAUGUGCCCAGUGGGGGCCAUUAUCAACGAAAGAUAAACUAAAAAUAUUUGCUUUGAAACAGAUCUAUCUGCCAUCAUUUUAGUUGCCACGGUAUUAUCAUUUAUUUAUAGGCUGUCUAAUUGCCCCAAAACUUCACUGCAUUCGUUUGUUGCUACCCUUUGAUGGAGUAUAUUAUAUACAGUGACCUUAAUAUAUAAAUAUAUCGUAAAUGCCACUGCCAUUGAGGCAGUUUGAAUAAUUGACUAACCUUUAUAGUGUUUUUACUUCCCAU
rnacentral:lncRNA from 1 species